rnacentral:tRNA from 51 species
GGCGAGAUAGCUCAGUUGGCUAGAGCACACGGUUCAUACCCGUGGUGUCGAGGGUUCGAAUCCCCCUCUCGCUACUA